UACGGAGGGUGCGAGCGUUGUCCGGAAUCACUGGGCGUAAAGCGCGUGUAGGCGGUUGUCCAAGUUGGAUGUGAAAGCCUUGAGCUUAACUCAAGAAAUGCAUUCAGGACUGGAUGACUAGAGGACCGGAGAGGAUAGUGGAAUUCCCAGUGUAGUGGUGAAAUACGUAGAGAUUGGGAAGAACACCAGUGGCGAAGGCGGCUAUCUGGACGGUUUCUGACGCUAAGACGCGAAAGCGUGGGGAGCAAACAGG
rnacentral:rRNA from 1 species